rnacentral:rRNA from 1 species
GAUGAACGCUGGCGGCGUGCCUAAUACAUGCAAGUCGAGCGAACAGACGAGGAGCUUGCUCCUCUGACGUUAGCGGCGGACGGGUGAGUAACACGUGGAUAACCUACCUAUAAGACUGGGAUAACUUCGGGAAACCGGAGCUAAUACCGGAUAAUAUAUUGAACCGCAUGGUUCAAUAGUGAAAGACGGUUUUGCUGUCACUUAUAGAUGGAUCCGCGCCGCCUUAGCUAGUUGGUAAGGUAACGGCUUACCAAGGCAACGAUGCGUAGCCGACCUGAAAGGGUGAUCGGCCACACUGGAACUGAGACACGGUCCAGACUCCUACGGGAGGCAGCAGUAGGGAAUCUUCCGCAAUGGGCGAAAGCCUGACGGAGCAACGCCGCGUGAGUGAUGAAGGUCUUCGGAUCGUAAAACUCUGUUAUUAGGGAAGAACAAAUGUGUAAGUAACUAUGCACGUCUUGACGGUACCUAAUCAGAAAGCCACGGCUAACUACGUG